rnacentral:rRNA from 1 species
UCCCUACGGGGGGCAGCAGUGGGGAAUAUUGGGCAAUGGGGGCAACCCUGACCCAGCAACGCCGCGUGAAGGAAGAAGGCUUUCGGGUUGUAAACUUCUUUGACGAGGGACGAAAAAAAUGACGGUACCUCGAAAACAAGCCACGGCUAACUACGUGCCAGCAGCCGCGGUAAUACGUAGGUGGCAAGCGUUGUCCGGAUUUACUGGGUGUAAAGGGCGCGUAGGCGGGACUGCAAGUCAGAUGUGAAAUGCAGAGGCUCAACCUCUGAGCUGCAUUUGAAACUGUAGUUCUUGAGUAUCGGAGA